UAAGGCCCUUCUCAAAACCAUUUCGGUAGUCACUAAUGUGACCAGUCUAAAAGGAGCCAAUAUUGAACCUUCCCAUGACAGUCGCUGCUCAGUUUUGUAUAUGUACCUAAUUAGCAACAUUUGCGGGAAAGGACAGUU